rnacentral:rRNA from 1 species
AUUGAACGCUGGCGGCAGGCCUAACACAUGCAAGUCGAGCGGAUGAGGGAAGCUUGCUUCCUGAUUUAGCGGCGGACGGGUGAGUAAUGCCUAGGAAUCUGCCUAUUAGUGGGGGAUAACGUUCCGAAAGGAACGCUAAUACCGCAUACGUCCUACGGGAGAAAGUGGGGGAUCUUCGGACCUCACGCUAAUAGAUGAGCCUAGGUCGGAUUAGCUAGUUGGUGAGGUAACGGCUCACCAAGGCGACGAUCCGUAGCUGGUCUGAGAGGAUGAUCAGCCACACUAGAACUGAGACACGGUCCAGACUCCUACGGGAGGCAGCAGUGGGGAAUAUUGGACAAUGGGCGAAAGCCUGAUCCAGCCAUGCCGCGUGUGUGAAGAAGGUCUUCGGAUUGUAAAGCACUUUAAGUUGGGAGGAAGGGCUGUAAGCUAAUAUCUUGCUGUUUUGACGUUACCGACAGAAUAAGCACCGGCUAACUUCGUGCCAGCAGCCGCUGUAACAC